ensembl:lncRNA
ACUAGACAUUAAGCUAGGAACUCCUAAAAGAUUUAUGUUAACUAAGAGCAUUUAAUAAGUUCACAAUGUGAGCACUAAUGAAUGAGUUGAUUUUAAUAUGUAUCAUAUUUUACCAUAGAAGCAUCAUUAUGUUUUGUCUACCCACGGUUUAAUUUUAUCCUUAUUUGACAUUCUUGGUAGGCAAGGCCAAAAGCAAACUGGGAUAUCCAGUACUACAGAUCCAGAUAAAAAGAAAAAAAUAAGAGAACCCUGAGAUAAAUCUGAGUCAUCUGAAGCGCAGCUGAGAAAACAGAGAAGUGUCUGAACUCAAAGCAGCACUCCCUAGUUGCUAACACGGGGAUGAUUAACAAAGAUGGACAACAGCAUUAUAGUCACUUUGGGCAGCUGAAGCUGACCACUUAUCAGGAGGAAAUUCACUUAGUGUUACUUCAGCCAAGAAGAGGAACCCCAGAAGAAGCUUUAGGAGGACUCUUCAGAAGCUUGAGGGUUAUGUGAAUGUAUCCUGCUGCAGCCUUACC